AGAGUUUGAUCCUGGCUCAGAUUGAACGCUGGCGGUAGGCCUAACACAUGCAAGUCGAACGCGAAAGUCCUUCGGGAUGAGUAGAGUGGCGGACGGGUGAGUAACGCGUAGGAAUCUAUCCUGUAGUGGGGGGAUAACGUUUCGAAAGGAACGCUAAUACCGCAUACGCCCCAAGGGGGAAAGCGGGGGAUCUUCGGACCUCGUGCUAUAGGAGGAGCCUGCGUCGGAUUAGCUAGUUGGUGAGGUAAAGGCUCACCAAGGCGACGAUCCGUAGCUGGUCUGAGAGGAUGAUCAGCCACACCGGAACUGAGACACGGUCCGGACUCCUACGGGAGGCAGCAGUGGGGAAUAUUGCGCAAUGGGCGAAAGCCUGACGCAGCCAUACCGCGUGUGUGAAGAGGGCCUUCGGGUUGUAAAGCACUUUCAGUGGGGAGGAAAAGCUGGUGGCUAAUAUCCAUCGGCCGUGACGCUACCCACAGAAGAAGCACCGGCUAAUUCCGUG
rnacentral:rRNA from 1 species